rnacentral:rRNA from 1 species
UGAGCUUGAAUCCUGGCUCAGGACGAACGCUGGCGGCGUGCCUAAUACAUGCAAGUCGAGCGCAGGAAGCCGGCGAUCCCUUCGGGGUGAAGCCGGUGGAAUGAGCGGCGGACGGGUGAGUAACACGUGGGCAACCUACCUUGUAGACUGGGAUAACUCCGGGAAACCGGGGCUAAUACCGGAUGAUCAUUUGGAUCGCAUGAUCCGAAUGUAAAAGUGGGGAUUUAUCCUCACACUGCAAGAUGGGCCCGCGGCGCAUUAGCUAGUUGGUAAGGUAAUGGCUUACCAAGGCGACGAUGCGUAGCCGACCUGAGAGGGUGAUCGGCCACACUGGAACUGAGACACGGUCCAGACUCCUACGGGAGGCAGCAGUAGGGAAUCAUCCGCAAUGGGCGAAAGCCUGACGGUGCAACGCCGCGUGAACGAUGAAGGUUUUCGGAUCGUAAAGUUCUGUUAUGAGGGAAGAACAAGUGCCGUUCGAAUAGGUCGGCACCUUGACGGUACCUCACGAGAAAGCCCCGGCUAACUACGUGCCAGCAGCCGCUGUAUGUCGUACUGC